AAACCCUAAACCCUUUUGAAAACCAUUACUCAGAUCAGAUCUCAUCUGCUCGUUCAAUCAUUCCUCCACCCUCAAACCCCUGUAAUGGCUUCAGCCUGCAGGCAGUUCGCCAACAGAGCAUCCCUAUCGUCCGUCCGAUCCGCCAUCAGAUCCAACGCCCCAAAAUCUCCCACCUCACGCUUCCCUCUCCCGACAUCCACUCCCUCUACUCCUCUUCGCCGUUCCUCACUCUCAAGGCCUCCGGGUGCACUGGGAUGCGUGCAAUCUCUACUGCCACUCCACAGCGCGGUGGCGGCGGCGAGAAUGACGUCGUCUCUGAGCAUCACAUCGAGGAGUUGCCGUGCGCUCUCACAGGGUACUCUCUGCCGCACCUCUCCCGGCCUCUAAUAAAAAAAAUUUGCUUUCUUUUCUAACUGCACAUAACAUUAUGCUUGAAAGAAAUAAACUGGACCUGGUAGUUAAGGCCUGCUGCGUCAUUAUCAAAUGGAAUUGAUGGUACGUGACACAUGUAUGCUGUAUAUGGAGAGCUUGGUCUGUCAGUUCCAAGGUGAUUCGUAGCAGGUUGUGUCACCAAUACAAGAAGUUAGCUUCACAAGAAUGGAAAAGCAAAGAUAUUGUAUUUUUAUUUAUUCAAACCCUUUCACAGAACUGAAGCUAAAUUCGAUUCUUCCUACAAGACAGGAUGUUAGCGGCUGUUAAAUAAUAAUUCAGUUGGCAUGUUCAAUACUAAAUUUUUAUGCAUCUCUGAUUUGGAAUACAAGUCCAUGUCUUUCCACGACAUCCUGGCCGCCUAAUGGCGAGCAUACCAUGCUUGAUGCGAUUACUUGUAUGUUUAAAUCGAAACCCAUGUAAUCUUAAGGUCAGCAUUCUUCAUAUUGUUGGACAAGUUGUAAUAAAUUUGGUUUCAUGUUUU